rnacentral:tRNA from 1 species
UCCCUGGUGGUCCAGCGGUUAAGACUCCGUGCUUCCAAUGCAGGGGACCCAGGUUUGAUCCCUGGUCAGGGAA